GCACCUAAAUCUUUCCCAUUCCUUGCCACUUCAUGCCGGCGUGGGGACAGAUGGUGCAACAGUACAAGCAGAGGAAAUCCAGACGGGUUUCCAUUUUGCCUUGGGGCCUGUCUCUACAACUCUGCCACACUU